GAGGCGCGGAGCGUGCAGUGCGAGUGCUGCGGGAUCGCGGAGGAGUGCACGCCCACCUACAUCGGCCGCGUCCGGGCGCACUUCCACGGCAAGUGGGUGUGCGGGCUGUGCGCCGAGGCCGUCAAGGAGCGGCAGCAGCGGGACCCCGACCUCGCCGUGGCCGCCGCCGUCGACGCCACGGCCGCGCUCUGCCAGCGCUUCAACUCCACCGUCCGCCUCAACCCCAAGCUGUCCCUCGCCAGCUCCAUGCGCGACAUCGCCCGCAAGAGCUGCCAGCACCGCGGCGCCACCGGAUCGGGCACCUGCACCGCCGGCGCCGGGAUCAAUUCCUCCGACGCCGCCUGCUGCGGCGCCGGCCGCGCCACCAGCUGCGCGCUGCCCUACGUCUGA
rnacentral:rRNA from 1 species